AAAACGGCUCUUUUCAGAGCCACCACUGGUCUCAAAAGAGAGCUG
rfam:Myotis brandtii contig187566, whole genome shotgun sequence.